rnacentral:tRNA from 1 species
GGGGGUAUAGCUCAGUUGGGAGAGCGCUUGACUGGCAGUCAAGAGGUCUGGGGUUCAAGUCCCCAUAUCUCCACCA